CCCCUAGAUGUUCUGGGCCGCACGCGCGCUACACUGAACAGUUCAACAAGCCUAGCCUUGACCGAGAGGUCCGGGUAAUCUUUGAAACUGCAUCGUGAUGGGGCUAGAUUAUUGCAAUUAUUAAUCUUCAACGAGGAAUGCCUAGUAAGCGUGAUUCAUCAAAUCGCGUUGAUUACGUCCCUGCCCUUUGUACACACCGCCCGUCGCUCCUACCGAUUGAAUGUGUUGGUGAGGAGCUCGGAUUGGCAGCAGUUGGUGGUUCGCCACCGGCUAUUGCUGAGAAGUCCUCCAAACCGCCCCAUUUAGAGGAAGGAGAAGUCGUAACA
rnacentral:rRNA from 1 species